UCAUCAUCUCCUCCAAAUCCAAAACCUAUCUCCUUCGCAAAUCGCAAAUCGCAAAUCGCAACAGAUCAGAGUUCAGAGCAUUAUGAAUCCAGAAGAUCUUCUUCAACCUCUCUUAAUCACCCAAACACGGAAGUGCACUCUUGGCUGCCCACUUCUAGAUCGCCUCCUCGCCGGUGGCGUCCCUUGCAACUCUGUAACCGAGCUAGUGGCGGAGAGCGGCUGCGGAAAAACCCAAAUCUCCCUCCAACUCCUCCUCACUGCCCAGCUCCCUUUCUCCCUCGGCGGCCUCUCCGCCUCCUCCCUCUACCUCUACUCCGAAUCUCCUUUCCCUCUCCGCCGCCUCCGCCAGCUCUCCCUUUCUUUCCCCGCUCUUCAAAACCCCUUGGAUAAAAUCCUCACCCACCCACUUCACUCUGCAUACCACCUGCUCGACCUAUUGCCCCGCAUUGACUCCAUCCUAUCCCGCCCCCCCGCACCCCAUUCCCCUAUCAAGCUACUGGUUAUUGACUCCAUAGCCGCGCUCUUUCGCCAUGAAUUCGAGAACAAUCUGCAGGAGCUUAAGCAGAGGUCGGAUUUAUUCUUCAAGAUUUCGGGCAAAUUAAAGGAGCAAGCGAGGAGGUUUGGUUUGGCGGUGGUGGUGGUUAACCAGGUUGUGGAUGUGGUGAGUGCUUCUGAAUCCGUUUGGAUUCGCAAUUCGCCUUCGCUGUACACUUCUGGAAGGAAUGUGUGUGCUGUUCUGGGAUUAUCUUGGUCGAAUUGUGUGAAUACGAGGUUGUUUUUAUCCAAGCAUGAGGAAAGAGUGGGUGAAGAUGGAGAUGGGUGUGCUCUUACGCAGAAAAGACAGUUUAUACGCGUUGUCUUUUCCCCCUAUCUGCCUGAUUCUUCCUGCGAAUUUGUUAUUAGAAAAGAAGGGGUCUUUGGAGUUGAAAGGUAGCAAUUGCAAUUCAGUUUCAACUUUCAAUGAUAUGAGGUCAAGUAAUGUACAAACCCACAGUUUACUCAACAGGCAGGGCAUAUUUUUCAACCAAAAAGAACAAGGAAAAAUAACCUCCAUUCAGGAGGAAUACUUAAUGAAAAGACAAAAGAUAUAUGAGAUAAUAUCACAUUUUCAAGCAUUCAAAAGUUUCACAUGCCGUUCAUCAAGAGACUUCAAACUUAAAAGAAUAUUAUGUCUUUAUUAGUAACUUAGAGCAUCCCCAUCAGUGAUUUUUGG